rnacentral:rRNA from 1 species
GGACUAACACCGAUAUGCUUUGGGGAGCUGUACGUAAGCGUUGAUCCAGAGAUUUCCGAAUGGGGGAACCCACUAUCUUUAGUCGGAUAGUAUCCUUACGUGAAUACAUAGCGUGAGGAAGGCAGACCCAGGGAACUGAAACAUCUAAGUACCUGGAGGAAGAGAAAGAAAAAUCGAUUUCCUGAGUAGCGGCGAGCGAAACGGAAAGAGCCCAAACCAAGAAGCUUGCUUCUUGGGGUUGUAGGACACUCUAUACGGAGUUACAAAAGAAAGUUAUAAAUGAAGCGGUCUGGAAAGGCCCGCCAAAGACGGUAACAGCCCGGUAGUUGAAAUGGCUUUCCCUCCAGAGUGGAUCCUGAGUACGGCGGAACACGUGAAAUUCCGUCGGAAUCCGGGAGGACCAUCUCCCAAGGCUAAAUACUCCCUAGUGACCGAUAGUGAACCAGUACCGUGAGGGAAAGGUGAAAAGCACCCCGGAAGGGGAGUGAAACAGUUCCUGAAACCGUGUGCCUACAAGUAGUUAGAGCCCGUUAAUGGGUGAUAGCGUGCCUUUUGUAGAAUGAACCGGCGAGUUACGAUUUGUUGCAAGGUUAAGCGGAAAAAGCGGAGCCGUAGCGAAAGCGAGUCUGAAUAGGGCGCAUAAGUAACAGGUCGUAGACCCGAAACCAGGUGAUCUACCCAUGUCCAGGAUGAAGGUAAGGUAAUACUUACUGGAGGUCCGAACCCACGCACGUUGAAAAGUGCGGGGAUGAGGUGUGGGUAGCGGAGAAAUUCCAAUCGAACUUGGAGAUAGCUGGUUCUCUCCGAAAUAGCUUUAGGGCUAGCCUCGAGGUAAAGAGUCAUGGAGGUAGAGCACUGUUUGGACUAGGGGCCCUUCUCGGGUUACCGAAUUCAGAUAAACUCCGAAUGCCAUGUACUUAUACUCGGGAGUCAGACUGCGAGUGAUAAGAUCCGUAGUCGAAAGGGAAACAGCCCAGACCACCAGUUAAGGUCCCCAAAUAUAUGUUAAGUGGAAAAGGAUGUGGGGUUGCUUAGACAACCAGGAUGUUGGCUUAGAAGCAGCCACCAUUGAAAGAGUGCGUAAUAGCUCACUGGUCGAGUGACCCCGCGCCGAAAAUGUACCGGGGCUAAACAUAUUACCG